GAAGGAGCAAACGUUUGCUUCAGACCCUACAAAAAUGGGAUUUAUCAAUGUUGUCAGGCUUAUCUUCAGCAUUAUUUUCUUUUGGUUUUAGCAUCUCGAGUUGUGUAUUGUGCAUAACUUGUACUUUAAGGAGAUUUUUUUGCCCAUUUCAAUUAAACUUUUUUUUUUCCAUAUUGUUGGUGUCACAUUUUUUCAUUUUAUUUUUCAUCACUAAUUCUUAAUUGUCAAUAUUUUAGGUUUUGCUUAGUCUCAUCGAUUUCGUGCGUUGGUACUUCUUGGGAGGUUCCUGGAUAUGGGACCUUGGGCUGCAGAUCUGGCCUUGUCAGUUGGCAUCUUUCCCUACGUGCUUAAAUUGCUGCAAACAAUAGCCACAGAAUUACGCCAAAUUCUUGCAUUUAUUUGGACAAAGAUCCUUGCAUUGGAUAAGGCAUUCACGUUUUACUCUGGAUUGCCCUGAUGCUUUCUUAUUUUCUCUUUUGCCCAUUAGCCUUUAAAGCUAUAAAUAAACUCCUUGUAGCAAAUUACAAUUCCACUCUUGGGGAGGGCCAUGCUUUUGUUUUGGCAGUUGUUGUGGAUGGAAACCGGCGGGAACAGGAGGCCUGUAUUCAGGCGAAUUUGAUACAUGUAUGCUUGAGGCAUCUGCAACUUGCAAAUCCACAUGAUACACAGACUGAGCCUCUACUUCUCCAGUGGCUUUGUCUCUGUCUUGGAAAGCUGUGGGAGGAUUUCCCAUAAGCACAGACAAUUGGUUUACACGCAGAUGCACCAACAAUAUAUGCGCCUCUGCUCUCAGAACCUCAACCUGAGGUCAGAGCUUCCACUGUUUUUGCUUUGGGUGCCCUUCUUGACGUUGGAUCGGACACUUUUAGAGAUGGGCUUGGAAGUGAUGGAGACUGUGAUGAUGAUGAAAAGAAUAAAACUGAGUUAAAUAUUGUCAAAAGCCUCUUGAAAGUUGUUUCAGAUGGAAGCCCUCUGGUUAGGGCGGAGGUUGCUGUAGCAAGGAAACAGAUCCAGUUCUUCUGCUUGUGGAAGUGCCAAUGUGUUAGAGGCAUUGGGGGUAAACAUCAAUUUGGACCCUGAGGUUAGUGUUAUAAAAUGAUCAAAUGAUUCCAUUUAUACAGAGUUUCUUUUACUUCAACAUUGAUAUGGUCGUUUGUCUUUUUAAUGCUUUUUAUUAUGAUGAGCU